GACGAACGCUGGCGGCGUGCUUAACACAUGCAAGUCGAACGGAAAGGCCCUGCUUUUGUGGGGUGCUCGAGUGGCGAACGGGUGAGUAACACGUGAGUAAACUGCCCUUGACUUUGGGAUAAAUUCAGGAAACUGGGGCUAAUACCGGAUAGGAUCUCCUGCUGCAUGGUGGGGGUUGGAAAAUUUCGGCGGUUGGGGAUGGACUCGCGGCUUAUCAGCUUGUUGGUGGGGUAGUGGCUUACCAAGGAUUUGACGGGUAGCCGGCCUGAGAGGGUGACCGGCCACAGUGGGACUGAGAUACGGCCCAGACGCCUACGGGAGGCAGCAGUGGGGAAUAUUGCACAAUGGGCGGAAGCCUGAUGCAGCAACGCCGCGUGCGGGAUGACGGCCUUCGGGGUGUAAACCGCUUUCGCCUGUGACGAAGCGUGAGUGACGGUAAUGGGGAAAGAAGCACCGGCUAACUACGU
rnacentral:rRNA from 1 species